GACGAACGCUGGCGGCGUGCUUAACACAUGCAAGUCGAACGGAAAGGCCCUGCUUGCAGGGUGCUCGAGUGGCGAACGGGUGAGUAACACGUGGGUGAUCUGCCCCUUACUUUGGGAUAAGCCUGGGAAACUGGGUCUAAUACUGGAUAGGACCAUGCUGUAGGUGGUGUGGUGGAAAGAUUAGUUUCGGUAAGGGAUGAGCUCGCGGCCUAUCAGCUUGUUGGUGGGGUAAUGGCCUACCAAGGCGUCGACGGGUAGCCGGCCUGAGAGGGUGGACGGCCACAUUGGGACUGAGAUACGGCCCAGACUCCUACGGGAGGCAGCAGAGGGGAAUAUUGCACAAUGGGCGCAAGCCGGAUGCAGCGACGCCGCGUGGGGGAUGACGGCCUUCGGGUUGUAAACUCCUUUCAGCCAUGACGAAGCCCUUGUGGUGACGGUAGUGGUAGAAGAAGCACCGGCUAACUACGUG
rnacentral:rRNA from 1 species